AUGGCCGGAGGGUCUGUCGCGCGUCUUGAAUAUAAAGGGCGUGAGGAAAGUCCGGGCAACACAGAGCACCAUAUUCUCUAACGGAGAGCUAUCGGUAACGGUAGAGUUCAAUGUGACAGAAAACAACCGCCGCGGCCUCGGUCGCGGUAAGGGUGAAAAGGUGAGGUAAGAGCUCACCGGGCGCCACGGCGACAUGGCGUGCCGCACAACUUAUGGGUUGCAAGGUCAAGUAUACCGGCAUUCAAGGGUUGCUCGCCCAUUGUCGGGGGGUAGACUGCUCAAGGGCGAAAGCUCAGAUAAAUGACAGACAGCCGGGCGUGUCCCGCCGCCACGGCGGCAGUACGCCCGCUACAUAACCCGGCUUAUACUCCGACCAUACGU
rnacentral:RNase_P_RNA from 1 species